GACGAACGCUGGCGGCGUGCUUAACACAUGCAAGUCGAACGAAGUGGCGAACGGGUGAGUAAUACGUGAGUAACUGCCCUCCUUUUUGGGAUAAGCCUUGGAAACGGGGUCUAAUAACGAGUAAAGGUGGAUGGGCUCGCGGCCGAUCAGCUUGUUGGUGGGGUAGUGGCCUACCACGGCGACGAACGUUAGCCGGCCUGGGAGGGGACCGGCCACAGUGGGCUGAGAGACGGCGCAAGCGCCGACGUGGGGCAGCGGGCGGGAAUAGUGUACAAUGGGGGAAACCCUGUUGCAGAAACGCCGGGUUCGUGAUGACGGCCUUCGGGUUGUAAACCGCUGUCAGCCAAGACGCGUUAGUGGCAGAAGAAGCACCGGCUAACUACGUGCCAGCAGCCGCGGUAAUAC
rnacentral:rRNA from 1 species